UUCAAAAUGGCCGUGUAUAUGUUUUUGGUGCUUAAGAUUGAAAUGUAUUCAACUGGUCUUUCUUGUGUCUAAUAUAGAUAACGCGUCAUUGAUUUAUGUAAAUAAUUUUUUUGCGUACGAAAGUCUUUGGAUGAGUCUGUGUAAAUAAAGUUAUAUUUAGCUUUAGUGUCGAUUCUUUUUGGUUUAUGUAGUUGGAGUACAUUUCUCUUGUGGUUAUGUCAAAACUCGAUGUGUUAUGUAAACUUGGAGUGGGGCGCAGGCAGCCUUCUGACCCAUUCUUUGCAGAAGGUGAUGCUGUUUGCAAAGCAUAUAAACGUGAAGGCAUUGUGGAGGUUGAUGAUGAAGAUUUGUGCCAUGAAGUUAUUGCCAAAUUUCCAUGCAGCGUGUUUGGUUGUAUGCUUGAAUUUGACUCAUUGCUGCAAUAUGAGAUGCAUUAUAAUUCGUCUCAUCGGUAUAUCUGCAGUGAAUGUAGGAAGCGACUUCCUUCACCACAUUUGUUGGAUUUGCAUAUUUCAGAAACACAUGAUUCGUUUUUCUUGGCCCAGACACAAAGGAAC